rnacentral:misc_RNA from 1 species
UCAAACUUGGUCAUUUAGAGGAAGUAAAAGUCGUAACAAGGUUUCCGUAGGUGAACCUGCGGAAGGAUCAUUCACAAUAAGUGUUUAUGGCACUUUCAAAUCCAUACCCACCUUGUGUGCAAUGUCAAGAGCCCUUUCAACUCUCUCUCUCUCUCUCUCCUUCUCUCCGGAGGAGGAAAGGGAUGAACGAGAGAGGACUGGGCUUCAUUUUCUUCUCACUCGUCUUCAAUUGCAAGUCUAACAUUCAGAGUAAUCAAAAACUCGAAUACAACUUUCAACAACGGAUCUCUUGGCUCUCGCAUCGAUGAAGAACGCAGC